UGAGGAUGAAAAUGCAGCGUAGGAAAUAAGGGCUGACGCUGAUUGAGCCACGCGGCUGAAGUUGAGUGGCGUACGGUGGUGUUUAGGUGGAGGAGAGAGAAAUAUCUGAUGUUGGAGAAUGAAAGAAUGGUACGUGAGUGGAAGGUGGCUGAGGAAUCCCUUGGAUUCUUCAGCCUUGACUUUCAAGGUAGAAUUGCUCUUGAGUGAUUCUCAACAGGAAACAAUUCAAUUAUCUCAAAAGUCCUUACAAGAUGUGUUAGCAUGCAUAUAUAUAGGUCUAAAUGUACCACAUGCCUAACACAUUGUACACAUGUCUAUUACAAAUAAAAGGAAAUACUAGGCUAAGGAAAUUGGGCUUGGGCCCAAGUCAUCA
rnacentral:lncRNA from 1 species